ACUUGCAGGUAAAAGAAGGCAGUAGUGUGUCUGCAGCGCUCUCAAAUCUCUCUGAGCCCUUCUCUAGUUUGUAAGAAAUGCCUUCCAAAUUUCAGUUCUGCUGUGGGCUUCGCAUAUCUGUUUUGGUGUCUCUCUAUUUGCUUUUCUCUUGCAUCUUCCUGCCGAGUUUAUGGUGGCAGGGAGCUUGUUUUCAACAACUCCCUGAAUGCAGCAAGCAUCCCCACUGGGGACAGGGCCGUUAGUGACGAAAUAAUUGCUCACUUGUCAUUGGUUGCCAUGGUAACACCUGUUCUUCUCACACCACAUUCACCACCAGUCUAAUGUCUAAUUUUAUCAUCAGACACCCUGCCUCUUUUCACCAUAGAGUUGAUAAUGAACCUUUAAAGUUUGGCCUUUAGAGAAAUAUUUUUCCCCUUUUUAGCCCGUAAAAAUGAGCCACGUUUUCACUGUCAUCAACUUCUGAAUGACUUUAUAAGGUUUCAAAGAGUUAACCUUGAUGUGUCUCCCAAGGCUUCUAAAGAUGGUUAACACAGGGACUUGCCAAGAACGAUGCCUUUAUUUUACAAGUGGAUGUCCUCAACUCUUGGUCCUUUCCACAUUACGUGUAUCACUGUAAGUCAAGAAUUCUUCCGAACUAAAAACAAUUCCACGAAGUCAGUUUCCAUCUGACUAUAGACAGACGUAAGCCCCUGCCUUCGAUUUUACAUUCCUCUAAAGCCAAAGGAUAAGAAAACAUGUCAAAAACACCCUUGUUUCUGAACCACCAGCUGUUUGUAAUACGGUCUUAUUUCAGCGAUUGGCUGUUCGUGGAGGGCACCAGUUUCCGGGCUGCUCUGUGGCCUCUUUAAAGCACACCGAGGCAUCUCCAAGCCGGCUUUGUCAAAAGCCAAGAACAUUUUUUAGGCAGAGACUCUGAGCUAGCUGCCACAUAAACAAACAGGAGUUCACUUUGGCUUCCUGAGUUUUUUUGGACUGACAGAAAGUGCUAAGGGGAAGACAGAAGCCAACAGGACAGCCUGGGGCGACUGGGAGCUCAGGAGGAAGAAGCAGUGGAUUGCUGGCACUGGCUCCCUGCUCAGGGCGAGGCUGUGAAAGUGUGAGCUGUGAACCAACGUCUGGAAAAGCUCUCCGCUGGACAUUUUGCCCUUGGCCCCAAAGGCUGGAUGAUGUCGGGCUGAAGAGAAUCUACCUUGGAUUCCUCGCCUCUAUUCAUGGUGCCAUGCCCGUCGAUCAACCCCGGCCCACCAGCCUGAGGGGAUCUUGUUGACAGACAGUUACUGUGUCAACAGACUCAUUUUGUGAAAUGGAAAUUGGAAGAAGCCUAAAAUAACAGAGCAGAGGAUGGAAACCCAAGCUGCUUUUGCCACAUGCAGCCCAUGCCUGCAGUGAGCUGGAUCUGGAUGCGUGUACCUGAAUUCACUUUAGUUUAUCACGAGGAAUGCUUCAAUGCUGUCCUGGAAGUGGAAGCAUUAACUAUGCUGUGAACAGAAAUUGUCAGGAAGAAGAAAGGGGGAACCCUUCAAAUAGUGCUAAUAAAAUGAGUCCUAAUGAGGCCUCUCAGACAUCAAAUGGGCAGAGUGAAAACACGCUUUGAUGAGGUCCUGAUCAACUCAUGAAUAUUUCUCUGGGCACCUACUGCAUGAAGCUCUUGCCAUGGACAGGCAGAAGACUGAAUUCUAUCAUGAGUCGGUCCAUGAACUUAAUAGCAUCUUUCAAGAGAUUUGAGUGGACAGUUUCCACCAGAUAUACAAAUAACUGACAAUAACAAAAGAAAACGUGACUAACAUCAGUUGCCGCUAGGGAAAUGCAAAUGAAAAUCAUGAUUAUUCAUUUUCUCCUAGCAACGAUCACCUAUGGGGACGAAGUUAUUGUCCCCGCGUUGUCCACUGCUGAGGUGCCCAUGUUCCAAUGGAUAACCCAGGUGGCAGCCAGGUUUCAAUAGCUAAUUCAGGCAGACAAGGUUAAACUCAGCAUGUCACAACUCAAAACCAAAAUAAAAAGACAUUAUAGUUAGUGGGGCAUGGAACUUGUUGGGAGCAGAGGCAUGUUGAUUGAGGGGGAAUAGUGAGCAUAGCCAAACUGUGUUAUCCACAGGUAUGAAAUUGUCAAAGAACAUAUUAAUAAAGAUAACAUUAACUAGCACACUCUACCAGGAGUAUGAUUACAGAAGAAACGACACUGGCUAACUAGUGAAAGUAGUGAUGUGAAGAAAUUAUAACUGUUAUUCAAUUGAUGUUCAAAAUGUAAAAUGGUGCUGCUGCUUUGAAAUACAGUCAAGGUCUCCAAAAGAUGAAGCACUAGAAGACCUUAUCAUCUAGCAAUUCCACUCCUAGGUGUAUAGCCAAGUAAGGUGAGAACACACAUCUGGGAAAUCUUAUACAGAUGUAUUGUCUCCAAUAUCCAAAAGGCAGGAACAGCCCAAGCAUCUAUCAUUCCCGAAUAUUUUAGAAAAAUACAGUAAGCUCAUACAAUGGAAUUUUCAGCCAUCAAACUUAGGAAGUAUUACUCCAUUCUUCAGCAUAAAUACACCUUAAAUGUAUCACACAUGCUAGUCAAAAGAGCAAGUCACAAAAGGCAAGUUGCUGGGUGAUUCCAUUGCAUCAAUAACAAGACAGGUAACUCCAUAAGAGCACAAAGUAAAUUAUGGUUUCCAGGGACUGAAAGGGUUCUAAAAAAUGGGGUGUGCCUGUUAGAAGGGAUCGGGUUUCUAAGGUGAUGAAAAUGUUCAAAAACUGACUGUGGUAAUGGUUGAUAGGCUCCACAAAUGUACUUAAACACAAGUGAGUCAAAUGUAUGAUGUAUGAACUGUACUUCAAAAAAAGCUGUUGUCAAUUUUAAAAGAGUGUUUUGAGAAAUCUGGAAGCAGAGAUUUAAAAAGACUGUUGCUGUAACACUGUCAAACCUAUGAUUAACCCGUGACAUCAACUGGCUUAGCCCCCAUACUGGGAAGCAGGCAUCAGAGGGAGAGAUGAGGUAAGAGGCUCUUCAUAGCCUGGUGUUCACCAGUCCCACCAGGGAUGCCAGGAGGAAGAAACCCUCACCAGAGCAGACAGACCCAUUCCAGGACCUCCUCUGUCCCGUGCUCCACUCUGGCGUCACUUGUGUAGUCUGCCACCUAAGGCAAACGGAUGUGAGUGGGUUCAUCCAAGAAAACACUCAAAAGCUUGCCUAGACAGAGUAUGAGCUCAGAAACUGCUCUUUUACCUCAGUGGCUUAAGAAUUUUGAUUCAUUUGGUAACAGUUUAUCUUUGAUGACGGACAAUGAAUGACUCAGUUUUGUGGCGUUUAGCACCUCCAUUCUGGGAACUUACUCAAACACAUUUUACUUAUUCCACAGACAGCUAUGGACUUCGGCCCAAGCUUCCUCCUUCCUUCUGGCUCCCAUAAUAGGGAAUUUAUUGUAUGUUGAUCCCUCAGGAGAAGUAAGGGGAGGUUGUCAUGUUACCGGCCAUUUAUUCACCAGCACUUGGUGAAGACAUCCUAGUCCUAACUAUCCCAGCAAAUGCCUUCCUCUUCACAAGGAAUCUCUGACCUUCCACAGGCUCUCCAAUUGAAGUGCCUGAAAGGAAAGGCUGGAAGCCAGGACAUGAAUUCUCCUCUGUAGUUCGGAUGGUGAAGAAGAUGGUUCCUCCUCUUCUUCAUGACAUCUUGAUGGACUGUGUUCCUUCUUCAUUGGAGCCAAAAUAAACAAUUCCCUCCUUAAGCUGCUCUUCUCAGGCAUUCUGCCUCAGCAAUAAGAAAAGUAACCAAAGAAAAAAUGGCUGAAAUGGGGGAAGACUAGAGCCCGAGCUAUGUGAAGAAGAGUAAGUAUUCGACUUCAGAUGUGUUAGGUUUAAGACACAGAAGUAGAGACGGCAAGGCUGUGAGAGGGACUCAUUGAGAAGCCCGAAGAUUAAAGAGUCAUCAUUGGGACUGGAGAGAUGGUUCACAGGUUAAGAGCACUGGCUGCUCUUCCAGAGGUCCUGAGUUCAGUUCCCACUAACCACAAGGUGGCUCACAACCAUCUAUAAUAAGAUCUGGUGCCCUCUUCUGGUGGGCAGGCAGACAUGCAAACAGAACAUUGUAUACAUAAUAAAUAAGUAAAUCUUUAAAAGGAAAAAAAAAGUAGUCAUCAUUGUGGAGAGAAUAUUUAUGACCAAACUUACAGAUGGAGCCAUCUAGGAAAAGGGGUGAAAGAACUGAGUUCCAGAACACCUGUCUUUUUGUUGAGCAAUGGAGAGGAGACAGCUAAGAAACCUGGAAUGAAGGCUGAGGGGAUAAGAGAGAGCUAGGGAGCUACUUCCUUAGAAGCCAAAGCUGGGGUGGCUUUCAAAUGGAUCUAGAGGGCCACUGUCCAAGUCUCAACAGUUCAUCUUGCUUUUUAAAAAGCAAAGAAAAUUAAGAUGGUUGUGUAUCAUGAGGAUCACGGUAGUGCACUAGGAGUAGAAGUCGGACAGGGCUGAAAUGAAUGGGACUUAAUUUUCUUUCAGUAUGUGAACUUGUCUAAUGGCCCUGGGUUUAUGUUCUAUCAAAACCCUAGCCACAGAAUCUGAAGCCAAAGUGGGCAUUUUGAUCUGUUUUUAUGGGUCAUAAAAGAAGUAAGAGAAUGGAACACGAAAGAAAAAACAAAGCUGAGGUGUUUUUAAGUGAGCUGGCCAUUGCUUGCUGCUGAAUACACUUGACUACUUGAAUUUAAUGAAUUCUAGUAGAGAAUGCAUUAUCCCAUCUAAGAACAGAAUGUCCAGGAGUCAGGAGAGAGGAAAGAAAUUGCCCCGUUUCACUCUGUCAAAGUCGAAGUGAGCUUCAAUGACAGCAUCUCUGGAAUCUGCAGUAAGUGAUGAAGGAAAACAAAGCCCCUGCUUGGGGGCUAUUUGGUCAGUAUGCACAGAAGCAGUGUCUCCCUGCCAUGCAUGCCGCAUGUGGGCGCGGCUCAAACAUGUAGUAGAGCAGGGUAACCAUGAGGACCUAUCUGUUUUUGCAUCUCUGGAAACAGCAUGGCGAUCACUCUUGCCAGACGCAAGAACUUAUACAGACAAAGGAGGCAGGAGCCUACAAGCUAUGGCCAGUAAGAUCUGAAUCCAUGUCAUCGUCUGUGGAACUGAAUGUGGUCUCUCCUAUAUCAGCUCUGCCCUCUAUGAACAUUCACUGUGAAGAACUGCUCUUUCGCUAAAACACAUAUGUCCAGAAAAACAUAACCAGGCAAGAGCUAUGGAUCACUCAUGCCUGCCAUGUGCCACUGGGACAGAAGGACUGCCUAGGGAAUUAUUCUCCUGUCUCCAGAACCUCAGAGAUCUUAGAGACCUCUCCCCUGAUCCCUGCCUCAGAAACUGUACUCCUUGAUACUCUUUUGGAAGAAGUACCUUAUCACAGUCCCAAACAAGGGAUUUCCAGCCACAGCGGCCAGGAUGGGAAGAAUGGCAGUUAAAAGUUGAUCACCCAUGGUUUGCCACAAUCUGCCUUUCAAUUAUAUAAGAAUCAACAGGAAAUCUAAAUUAGCAUGCUUGGACCUAAAUGAGCCACAAGCCUGCCUCUUACUGAAUUAACCAGCUCAACAAUUUCUUCUUGUAAUAAAUCAUAUUGAAAUUUUGUUUUGUUGUUUGCUUGUUUGGAGGACAGGUUUUCAUAUAGGCUGGUGGAAAACACAUUAUGUAGCUGAAGAUGGCCAUAAACUCCUGAUCCUCCUGUCCCUAUCUCCCAAGUGUUGGGUCAUAAACACAAACACUUUAAAAGCUCUCUCUAUGAUAUCUAAUACAAAUCCAUAAAUUUCAUAUAGCACUUGCCUAGCAAUGUAAAAGUAUUAGAAGCAAAUAGAAAAUGGGCCUUAGCAUUUAAAUAAUUUCCCCAGAAUCACAGAAUCAAUAAGAGGCAUUUUCAUAUAUGUAUAUAAUAUACCUUGUUCAAAUUCACCCCUCUAUUGCUAUUUUAACCCCUUCUGCCUUCCAUUUUUUCUUUCACUUUCUACCCUGCUUGAUUUCAUGCCCUUUUUCUCCUCU